CGCAACCAGCUCCUUGCGGCUCUUCUGUUGAGCGCUGAGAGAUCGAACGCUCGUCCUCGCUCCGCUGCUGCCUGCAAACACAUCCAGAGAGAGACGCAGAUCGUCUUUACAGGACGCCCACAAAUAUUGGCGCCCGUGAUUGCUCAGACCUGCUCUGGACCGGGCCGAGCGCUGAGAGACGCUGGAGCUCUGUCUCCGCACCGCCGAGCUGCUGUGGACGGCCUUCCUGGGCACACGGGUGUUUGUGGAGACGGCCGAGACGUCAGCGGCGCUCUUCUCAGCUUUCUCUUCACUGUCUGAAUCAGUGUGAGACGUCCUGGGCACGUCUUCGUCCCACAGACCGUAGCACUGAGGAAGAAGGGAUUACUGACUGUUGUUUCAGUGCAUUGCAUGCAAAAAUAAAGGGUCUUGAUUAAAUAUGAGCACGCUGUCACAUGACCGGUUUACUUCCUGUUUGCUUGAUGAGAUGAUGAUGCACAAAAAGGGCCAGUAAAGACAUUAAUAAAGACAUGAAAAAUGAAAUGAAGAUUUUUCUUUCAGGUCAUAAGCAGUUUGGGGCGAUACCUUCAGGAUGGAGCGGUGGAAGAAGAGCGCGAGGAGCUGGACCAGGUCGUAGUGGACGUAGCCCUCUUUCUUCUCCACGCCGAUGAUGUUGGGCGGGUGGA